GUCGUGUGGGACAUCCUCGUCCGCCUACCGGCGAAGGCGCUCCUCCGCUGCCGCGCGGUCUGCCGCUCCUGGCGCGACCUCACCUCCGGUGACGAUUUCCUUCUCGCCCACCACCAGCACCAGCCGUCGCUCCCGCUCCUCUCCUUCGGCGGCGAGAUCGACGCCUGCCGAAGAAACGUCGACGCCGCCCUCGACGCCUUCGACUUCCGGCGACGCCCCGCCGAGCGCCGGCCUGUGCUCCGCUUCAGCGACUACAACCGCCGCGGUCCCUCUCUAAUGGUACCUUCUACAUCUGCAACCCGGCCACGCGCCAGUGGACCACACACUACGAGUGGCGGAGCUACAUUCAAACCUGCUGUGACAUCGGUAAAAAAAAUUGAUGACAUCGGCAGCCCAACACCAACAGCCAGACGUCUUGCCCUGUUGUAAUCCAACGCAGAGACGCUUCGUUUUCCAAUUUCCUAUCGGUGUCUUCUCGGUUCUCGCCCGCACGGCGACGACGCCGCACCGUGGUAACCGGCAACUCCUCCGCUCCUGCCUCCUGCAGCCUCGGCCGUAGGCUCUGAGGCUCUGAGCCUCUGAGAUCAGCUACUAGUAUUUUGACGUCAGAUACAAGUGGACAGCAAGAGCCUUGUUAGCUUCUUCAAUCUAUUCAUUUUUGUAGCAAAAGCAAAAUGCCAGGUAACCAAUGCGCGCUGGAACGAUUCUUGAAAAGAAAAGCAUCUCCAGCUGGUGAUGGAGAGGAUCGUGAUGCAGUGGUUCCUAGAACAGAUGGCAAUGCAUCAAACAUCAAUCCUACUGCACAUCGUACUUCUCGAAUCUCAGGAAUGGAGGUAAAUUGGGACGAGCUUCCUUAUGAUCCUGCAGAUAGAAGGAGAAUAUCAGAUUACAUUGGACAAAAGUUACAAGAUGAUGUAAGGCGAAAGUAUUUGACUAGAGGUCCUUGUAAACCGCCACCUGGUUUCAGAUUUCCACAAACUAUCAUAGCAGGUGUUCCACGUCGAUGUCAACAUGAAUGGUUCACUACAUAUGAUUGGCUAGAGUAUAGCGAGAAGGUGGAUAAGUGUUUUUGUUUGUAUUGCUACUUAUUCAGAGAUUCCAAUGAGGGCCAAGGUGGGAAUGAUGCAUUUGCAAUAGAUGGUUGGAAAGGAUAUAACAACACCAAUAGGCUUCGAGAUCAUGUCGGCAGCAAAUGCGAUAGCUUUCAUAACACUGCUGUAAAAAGAUGUGAUAAUUUGUUAAAGCCUGACCAGUCAAUUGGUGCUCAUUUGAACAAGCAAAGCAAUGCCACUAAAGAGAAUUAUCUCAUUCGAUUGUCUACAUCUAUCAAAGCUGUUUGAUACUUGCUACAUCAAGGUUUAGCUUCCCGUGGCCACGAUGAAUCAGAAGAGUCUACAAAUAAGGGGAAUUUUCGAGAGUUGCUACAACUUUUGGCAGAAGAAAAUGACAAGGUCAAUAAGGCUGUUCAAAGUGCUCCUAGUAACUGUAAGAUGGUGGCUCCAGAAAUUCAAAAGGAUAUUGCUAAUUGUUUUGCUGAGAUCAUAGUGAAUUCUAUCAUUGAAGAAAUUGGCGGGGAUGUGUUUUGUCUAUUAGUAGAUGAAUCAGCUGAUGUUUCAGGCAAGGAACAGAUGGCAGUGGUUGUGCGGUAUGUUGACAAGCUUGGGGUCAUAAAGGAGAGACUGAUUGGCAUUGUUCAUGUGAAAGAGACGUCAGCUUCAUGUCUGAAAUCAAACAUUGAUAAUCUGUUUGCUAAGUAUGGAUUGAGCUUAAAACAAGUGAGAGGACAAGGUUAUGAUGGAGCUAGCAACAUGAGAGGUGAGUUCAAUGGUUAAGAGCUUUAAUCUUGAGAGAGAAUAGCUCAGCGUACUACAUCGAUUGCUUUGCUCAUCAGCUGCAAUUAGUCCUUGUUGCAGUAGCUAAAAAGAAUGAUGAUGCCAGUGAUUUCUUUGACAUGAUAUCCCUAUUACUUUCUGUGGUGGGAGCUUCUUGCAAACGUAAGGAUAUGAUUCGAGAAAAGCAGCAGGAGAGAAUUAGAAAAGCUGUAGGUAGUGGAAAAAUGAGCAGUGGAACUGGAUUAAAUCAAGAACAGUCCCUUCAAAGAGCCGGAGACACACGAUGGGGUUCUCAUUAUAAAACCCUUAAGAGUCUGAGCAAUUUGUUCCCUGAAGUUAUUGAUGUGCUCCAGUAUGUUGAAAAAGAAGGCCCAAAUGAUGCGAAGAGACGUCAAGCUCAUGGUCUCAUAGACUAUCUUAAGGAUUUUGACUUUGUCUUCCACUUGCAUUUGAUGUUGCUUAUUUUAGGACAUGCAAAUCCUUUAUCAUUGUCAUUGCAAAGGAAAGAUGAAGAUAUCUUAGAGGCUAUGGUAGAAGUGAAGUUAACCAAGUAGAAAUUUCAACAAAUUAGAGAUGAUGGUUGGGAAUCUUUAUUGUAGAACGUAUACUCUUUUUGUGAAGAACAUGGAAUACCUAAGUUGGAUAUGGACGAGGACUAUAUAGAUCGACAUAAGCCAAGGAAAAAUACUAACCGCACAAAUUAUCAGCACUAUAGAUAUGACUGUCUGAACCUAGUUAUUGACUUGCAACUUGCAGAGUUCAAUGAUCGUUUUGAUGAGGUGAACUCUAAACUUCUUACCCAGAUCGCUUCUUUUAAUCCCAAGAACUCUUUUGAUGCUUACAAAUUUGAAAGUUUGAUGGAGUUGGCUCAGUCAUACCCAGAAGAUUUUGAUUCAACACAACUAAAAGAUCUUCCUCGUGAGCUUCCUAUUUACAUCGAUAACAUGAGAGCUGGUGAAAGAUUUGCCAAUUUGAAUAGUAUUUCUGAGCUUGGUAGGAUGAUGGUGCAGACAAAUAAACAUCUUUCCUUUUCUUUUAUAUCGUCUACUGAAGCUCGUACUUGUUCUUCCUAUCGCUACUGCAUCGGUGGAGAGGUGCUUUUCGGCAAUGAAAAUUGUGAAGACGGUACUGCAUAAUCGAAUCGGUGAUGAAUUUAUGAAUGAUUGUAUGGUUGCUUCGUGGAACAAGGAUUUGCAUCGUUUAUAUCUACUGUGACACCGACUCGCAUCUGUUUCACUGGGCAGCAACGGCAAAUUGCUGCAGAAAUUCCAGUGGGAUCGUGUGUUUCUAAUGGUCACCAGACAUUGGAUCAAAGAAAGCCUUUGCAGACAUUCAUUCUUCCACAAUCCAAAUCAUGGUUUCGUGAAACAACCGCAUUUCUUUCGUGGGCUCUAGCGCAGGUUGAUGCUUCUUGAACCUUGAUGAUGUUGAUGCCUAUAGCUUAACGCCUUACCUCCCUUUGAGUGACUAGGCUAUUUAGAUACUUACUUCUGUUUAGUAAGCUUGAACCCAGUAUUUUGUCUGCUCACCUAUGACAAUGUAUUGUAUGUAAACCACUUUGCCAUGACAAUGACAGUAAAA